rnacentral:rRNA from 1 species
AUGCAUGAGAUUUCAACCACUGUUGUAGCAGCUAUAUACAUACAUAUAUUUAAAGGCUUCGCCUCCCUAGGCAUUCUCGUUGCUUGGAGCAUAUGGAGGCACCGCAACUCCGUAGUUUUUGAUUCUGCCCGCCCCUUCAUCGAUCUGGUGAUUCAGAGUAUACUCGAUGAGACACGGACAUGGGCCCUCGCCGGGGUCAAGGGUCUUGCGGCGAUCACACAAUUCGAGCCACCCUAA